UACGAAGGGGGCUAGCGUUGCUCGGAAUCACUGGGCGUAAAGGGUGCGUAGGCGGGUCUUUUAAGUCAGGGGUGAAAUCCUGGAGCUCAACUCCAGAACUGCCUUUGAUACUGAGGAUCUUGAGUUCGGGAGAGGUGAGUGGAACUGCGAGUGUAGAGGUGAAAUUCGUAGAUAUUCGCAAGAACACCAGUGGCGAAGGCGGCUCACUGGCCCGAUACUGACGCUGAGGUGCGAAAGCGUGGGGAGCAAAC
rnacentral:rRNA from 1 species